UACGUAGGGAGCAAGCGUUGUCCGGAAUCAUUGGGCGUAAAGCGCGCGUAGGUGGCCUCAUAAGUCCGCUGUGAAAGUCAAGGCUCAACCUUUGAAAGCCGGUGGAUACUGCCGGGCUAGAGUCCGGAAGAGGCGAGUGGAACUCCUGGUGUAGCGGUGGAAUGCGCAGAUAUCAGGAAGAACACCUAUGGCGAAGGCAGCUCUCUGGGACGGUACUGACGCUGAGACGCGAAAGCGUGGGGAGCGAACAGG
rnacentral:rRNA from 1 species